rnacentral:lncRNA from 1 species
CUAUGCACACCUCCCAAGGUGCCCUCUAAUGCAGCCACCCUUUAUGAAUUAACGUGGAAUGAUAUGGAAAAUGGAAGGUUGUUAAGAGUUUAAUGAGAAAUAGACUCUUCCUUUUCUCAUCUUACAAAAGUGGGCAUCCCAAUUUAUUUUUGAUGUGUGAGUUCCUUCAUAGAGAAGGACUCUUCCUUCUCUUCUGUGCCCACAUAUCCCAAGGUGCCAUCUGAUGGUGCAAGAAACAAAAGAAUACGUGGAAGGAUAAGAAGGAAAUUAAGAGGAGUAAUCCAGAAGGACUCCAUCUUAAUGCAAAAAAUAAAUGGGGUGCCAAUUUAUUUUGGUGUGUAGUUUGGCAUGGAGGGAGUUGACUUCUCAUGGAACACUUUCAUAAAAAUCAGAUAAGCCACCUAAUAAUUUAUAGG